UGAAGAAGUCCUUGACGAGCAAGGAGUAGACGCUCCAGAUGCCGCCGUUGAGGAAGAGGAAAAAGGACAGGAAGAAGGGCAUGUACUCCACGCUCUUGGUCUUGACCACCGUCAUCUGCAUGCAUAUCAAUUCAUGAAGCUCCAGACAGAAGAGCCUGCUUGUCCAUGGAAUCAAAAUCUAAAAUUGAAGUCUGCUGGUCGUAAAUCGGAACAAACCCAUCAAGCCUGGUGGCUGGAAAGAUCACAGAUGGGACCAAGGUGCCGAUUUAAGUUGAGGGGUCUGGUUCGAUUCAAGGACGAUUUGAGGAGUGCUCUUCUCCUGUAUACGGAGUAAAUCGAAGAAAGCGAUAUCAGACCAAACACCCUACUAACUCAUCACACGGAGAGACGGACGUGAUUGGUCAUUUGAGGUAGGCAAAAAUCUCCCCCACUCUCGCCAGAGCAGAUUGCAUCCACGAUCUCGUUUGCACCACGCGUCCACAAGUUUAUUGGGGCUUACGAAAUUCCAGACAUUCCAUGUUUUGUAAAAGAAUAUUGGAAAAUGACUUUGUCUGGUUAAAGUUACUCUG